GCGACACUUAAUUAGCAAUUUUGGAUGAAUGAGAUGGCAUAAGUUUCAUUUUCCCUAUCUGAAAAAAUAUGAUGACAACAUGUGUUGCACUUGAUUUAAUGAAAGAUUCUUGCCAAGCAGAAGUUCAGUAAUGAUGUUAAUUAGAUUUAAUUUGCCUUGCUAUAUAUACAUCUAUCAUUAGUUAAUCAAUUCAAUAUUGCUUGCAAUGAUAAAUUAGUUUUAGUUGCCUCUGACAAUGCAGCUUAGAGCCUAGUUCUCUUACUCAAUUCUAUCCUCAUAUUUCAUGCAACGGUAACGCCAUUAUUUUGCCAUUAAAAUGUUACAAAAAUUAUCCUUGAAAUAAUUAAUUUCAGCCAGACUGAAGUUAUCGUUUCAAAUUAGCACUAUAAAUUAAUGGCAUUGGAUGUCCAUCAUCUCUUGUUUGUUCUAGAUUUGCAAGCCUGGAAGGAGGUUUAAUGGUCCUGAGGUGGGCAGUGAAUUAUAGCCUUCUGUUACGUGUAUUGGUUGGAUCAUUUGGUAGUUUGUUUCCAUGACCUUGUGAUGAAGUAAACUUAGCAGGGUAUAGCCUAGGCUUGUGAGAUUUGCUACAGACUUCAUGGAUGAUAAGCAUAAGUAUGCUAUUUCUUAUUCAUUUGCAAUGGUGUCUGCCUGUUCAACCAAUGGGCAAUGACCAAUCGCCCCGUGUUAGAUUUUCUGGUUGCUAGUAUUCUUCAGAAAUUUUCUUGAUUGUUGUUGGAUUAGGUAAAGUGGGUAUAUAUUGUUGUUAUACAGAAUGAGGUCAUGGUAGAAUAAACUUACAAAUGAUUUUGGUUUAUGUUUUGCUGCUUUCUGUUUAUUAUAUUAAGGUUUUGACUGCAAGGCUAUGAUAUUAACUUGGUUAAUUUCCAAUUCAAUUUUUCUUUAAUUCUCAUACAUUACUCUUCAUUGGGUGGGAGCAGCGUUGAGGCUGAGGGCAAGGCACAACUAUCGUUCUUCACAAUAUUGGCAUGGUCUUUCUAGUGCUUAAUUG
rnacentral:misc_RNA from 1 species